rnacentral:tRNA from 1 species
GCGUCGGUGGUGGAGUGGUCAAUCACAACAGGCUGUAAACCUGUCGGCUUCGGCCUUCGAAAGUUCGAAUCUUUCCCGGCGCA